rnacentral:rRNA from 1 species
AGCAGCCGCGGUAAUUCCAGCUCCAAUAGCGUAUAUUAAAGUUGUUGCAGUUAAAAAGCUCGUAGUUGAAUUUCGGGAUCAAUAUAUUGGUCGUGCUUUCGGUAUGUACUGGUAUUAUUGGUUUCUACCUUCUGACGAACUAUGAUGUCAUUAAUUUGGUGUCAUAGGGAAUCAGGACUGUUACUUUGAAAAAAUUAGAGUGUUUAAAGUAGGCAC